rnacentral:rRNA from 1 species
AAGCCAGACUCCUACGGGAGGCAGCAGUGGGGAAUAUUGCACAAUGGGGGAAACCCUGAUGCAGCAACGCCGCGUGAGUGAAGAAGUAUUUCGGUAUGUAAAGCUCUAUCAGCAGGGAAGAAGAAAGACGGUACCUGACUAAGAAGCCCCGGCUAACUACGUGCCAGCAGCCGCGGUAAUACGUAGGGGGCAAGCGUUAUCCGGAUUUACUGGGUGUAAAGGGAGCGUAGACGGCGAUGCAAGCCAGGAGUGAAAGCCCGGGGCCCAACCCCGGGACUGCUCUUGGAACUGCGUGGCUGGAGUGCAGGAGGGGCAGGCGGAAUUCCUGGUGUAGCGGUGAAAUGCGUAGAUAUCAGGAGGAACACCGGUGGCGAAGGCGGCCUGCUGGACUGCAACUGACGUUGAGGCCCGAAAGCGUGGGGAGCAAACAGGAUUAGAUACCCGUGUACUC